UACGUAGGGUGCGAGCGUUAAUCGGAAUUACUGGGCGUAAAGCGUGCGCAGGCGGUUCGUUAAGUCAGAUGUGAAAGCCCCGGGCUCAACCUGGGAACUGCAUUUGAAACUGGCGGGCUUGAGUAUGGCAGAGGGGGGUGGAAUUCCGCGUGUAGCAGUGAAAUGCGUAGAGAUGCGGAGGAACACCAAUGGCGAAGGCAGCCCCCUGGGCCAAUACUGACGCUCAGGCACGAAAGCGUGGGGAGCAAACAGG
rnacentral:rRNA from 1 species